rnacentral:tRNA from 1 species
GUUAGCUCAGCGGCAUAAGCACCUGCCUUGCAAGCAGGUGGUCGUGAGUUCGAUCCUCGGUAC